UACGGAGGGUGCCAGCGUUAUCCGGGUUCACUGGGUUUAAAGGGUGCGUAGGUGUGCAGGUAAGUCGGUGGUGAAAUCUCCGGGCUUAACCCGGAAACUGCCAUUGAUACUAUCUGUCUUGAAUACCGUGGAGGUGAGCGGAAUAUGUCAUGUAGCGGUGAAAUGCUUAGAUAUGACAUAGAACACCAAUUGCGAAGGCAGCUCACUACGCGAAUAUUGACACUGAGGCACGAAAGCGUGGGGAUCAAACAGG
rnacentral:rRNA from 1 species